rnacentral:rRNA from 1 species
AAUGAACGUUGGCGGCGUGGAUUAGGCAUGCAAGUCGAGCGGUAGGAGUUCACACACCCCGGCUCAUUUAAUUUAGCCCCCGGUCAGUGACUGGGGGGCCGAAAUAGAUUAAGUGAACGAGGUGUGUGGACUCUGAGAGCGGCGAAAGGGAGAGUAACGCGUAGUUACGUACCCCGGGGUCCGGAAUAGCCACGGGAAACUGUGGGUAAUGCCGGAUAACAUCCCCGGAUCAAAGGUGUGAUUCCGCCCUGGGAGCGGACUGCGUUGUACUAGCUAGUUGGUGAGGUAAUGGCUCACCAAGGCAAUGAUGCAUAGCGGGUGUGAGAGCAUGACCCGUCUCACUGGGACUGAGACACUGCCCAGACACCUACGGGUGGCUGCAGUCGAGAAUCUUCGGCAAUGCGCGCAAGCGUGACCGAGCGACGCCGUGUGUGGGAUGAAGG